rnacentral:rRNA from 1 species
AAAACUCCGGUGGUAUGGGAUGGAUCCGCGUCUGAUUAGCUGGUUGGUGAGGUAACGGCCCACCAAGGCGACGAUCAGUAGCCGACCUGAGAGGGUGGCCGGCCACAUUGGGACUGAGACACGGCCCAAACUCCUACGGGAGGCAGCAGUGGGGAAUAUUGCACAAUGGGGGAAACCCUGAUGCAGCAACGCCGCGUGAGUGAAGAAGUAUUUCGGUAUGUAAAGCUCUAUCAGCAGGGAAGAAGAAAGACGGUACCUGACUAAGAAGCCCCGGCUAACUACGUGCCAGCAGCCGCGGUAAUACGUAGGGGGCAAGCGUUAUCCGGAUUUACUGGGUGUAAAGGGAGCGUAGACGGCUGUGCAAGUCUGAAGUGAAAGCCCGUGGCUCAACCGCGGAACUGCUUUGGAAACUGUAUAGCUUGAGUACUGGAGAGGCAGGCGGAAUUCCUAGUGUAGCGGUGAAAUGCGUAGAUAUUAGGAGGAACACCAGUGGCGAAGGCGGCCUGCUGGACAGAAACUGACGUUGAGGCUCGAAAGCGUGGGGAGCAGACAGGAUUAGAUACCCUGGUAGUCCACGCGGUAAACGAUGAAUGCUAGGUGUUGGGGAGCAAAGCUCUUCG